CUUGUCGCUGGAAGGUGUGGCUUAUGUCUUCUCAUACUAUUUGACAGAAUGGAGUUUUCUUGUUCGUCGAUCCUUCUAACUGCACAUAUUGAAACAAUAGAUUUACUUAGUAAUGGACAGGAGAUGAGUAAGAUUGGUUUACUUUCACGGGUGUGAGAUUUUCACAAUGUUCGAUUACAGACGGUACCGUCCCUGCAAAUGUAGGUAGUCCUCUCUCAAGCGUAGUAGUGGCAGGAGUAUGUAGGAAGCAAAUGUCCUCAUCUACAAUGGCAGAAUAUUACACGACAAAGUAAAUUGUGUGAAAGAAUAAUGGCUUUACAGGUAAUAGAAAUUCUACAUGGAUUCUGACCGUAAUCUUCGCCAACAUAAAAAAGGAAUAAAAAUGAAAUUAAAGGGGUGAACUAAGUACGGAUUCGACUUUGGAGGUUGCCGGAAAGGACAGAAACAAAUGGGGAAAGAGUUAAAUACGGAUCAUCAGACACAGAGUCCAUCCUACUGACAAUGGUUUGAGUGAUGAAAGACAUCUUGUAACGAUGGGCAGUAGGCUUGAAUUGACCAGUGGCGAUACUCAAACCAAAGUUCUCGACAAUUCUCCAUUGCCCGGUCACGAUCUUGUUUUCAAAACGACUGAUCAAGUCUUUCUUGAUAGAAGCGUGAAUCUUCGUCCCCUGGUAAAAGAAGUUAUAAGGUACAUUGUAGUUGCAUUAUAAAACAUAAAAUUAAAGGUGAAUGAUGGGAGACACCAGUAUUUAAACUUACUUGGACAUCUGAGAGCACCAUAUCGAAAGUUUCACCAAACCUUGUUGAGUAGGUCUUCCAUGAAUGAAGGACCUUGACUUGGACCUUCCAAGAAGUCUUGUAAGGCUUAACGUCACGAAGGUAAGCGUAAGUUGUAGCCAUUGUUUGUUGCUUGUUGAAUUUUGCUUGAGAAAUGAUUUUUGCUUGAUGAGUUAUGAAUGUGUUUGAUGUUGGAUUAUUUAUAGUGGUCGAGUAUCCUAGGGUAUCGUAUAGGAUUUGUAACAAAGAGGCGUUCAUGAUUACAAGAUUUUUGGUUAUGAUUAGGAUUAUAUUAUAUAUAUGAUAGAAUUUGCUUUCAAUGUUGAUUGAUUGUCAAGAUUAUGUAGAGAGAUUUGAGGGCGGGAUUGAUUGAGAAGAUAUUGUUUGAAUAGUUACCAAAAAAAAUACCAAGGAAUAUUCUUAAG